GAUUCAGGAUUCUCCAGCCUUUGUUACCAUGGCAACUAACCAGUUACCGGUUGACCCGACUCCUGAACAUGAGGAUGGUCACGAUGACCAGUCUUUCUCCACCAGUCCCGGAGCUUCUUUUUCCACCAGUCCUGGAGCACUCCAGUCUUUUUCCACUAGUCCAGUAGUGGCAAGUCCAGGGAUGGAUCCGUUGGGGGCUCGGUUGAACAUUGUGGAAGAGAAGGAGCUAUGUCGCUGGGCCAACGCGUACAUCCCGUCCUACCCAGACCCGGGGGAAGAGAGGGAGUCCAGGUUUCCUGUCAACGAGGACUUCAACAGGAAGGUGGUGCUCUGGGAGGGUGACAUCACGACGUUGAACUGCACGGCGAUCGUUAACACGACUAACGAGACGCUGACGGACAGGAACCUCAUCAGCGAGAGGAUCUUCCAGGCUGCCGGACCUGACCUCCGCGCAGAGUGCUCCAACCAUCUCAAAACUUGCAGGACAGGUGAGGCGAAGAUGACCAAAGGGUACAACCUGCCAGCGAGGUACAUCAUCCACACCGUGGGGCCCAGGUACAACGUGAAGUACCGGACAGCUGCGGAGAGCGCCUUGUUCAACUGCUACAGGAACAGUCUUCAGAUUGCAAGAGAAAACAAUCUCCAGUCCAUCGGCCUGUGUGUGGUGAACCAGCCAAAGAGAGGAUAUCCACCGGACGAAGGGGCCCACAUUGCACUCAGAACUGUGCGUAGAUUCCUGGAGAAGUAUGACUCCUCCUUGGAGACAAUAGUUUUCGCAGUAACCGACAAUGAUGAGGACAUCUACAGGAGAGUCAUGCCCCUGUACUUCCCGAGGACGAAGGCAGAAGAGCAGGCCGUGUUAGACGAGAUUCCUGCAGACGUAGGGAAUGAGGAGGGAGAACCGUUCAUACAGGAGAGGCAGAUCAGAAUCAUGGACAAACCCAUCGGAGCAGAGGACAGCACUGAAGCAGACGAGAGUUUUGAGGAGGGCCUCCUCGGCCUGGGUGGAAAAGUCGGCGCGCAUGGUUUCGCCACCAUGGAGGGCGACCACGACAAAGCGCGUAUGCAGCAGCUGCAGGGGAAAAACUCUGAGGAGCAGAUUCUUCUUGAGCAGCAGAGAAGGUACCAGAGGUGGUUGAAGCGAUCCAAGACUGACGACUUGUCGGACAUCGCAGCUCUCAGGGUUCUCUAUCAGUCAGGUACAGAUAUCUUUGGUCGCCCGGUGGUCGUCAUCGUGGGAAGGAACUUCCCUGUCAAUGUCAUCGAUCUAGAUAAGGCACUGUUGUACUUCAUCCAAGUGAUGGACCCGAUCGUCAGUAAGGACUAUGUGGUGGUGUACUUCCACACACAGAGCACCGACGACAACCAACCAGAGCUCUCCUUCCUCAGGAGCGCAUACAAUCUACUAGACAACAAAUACAAGAAAAAUUUGAAGGCAUUUUAUAUAGUGCAUCCUACAUUCUGGGUCUAGGAUAGUGACGUGGUUUUUCACCACGUUCACGGCCAGUAGUAUUAAGGACAAGGUUCGCAGUGUGCAGAGUGUACAGGAGCUCUACCACACCAUCCCACCUGAGCAGCUGGACAUACCUCCUUUUGUACUCGACCAUGACAUCCAGCUCCAUGGCCCCAUGCACAGACAGAGUAUCUCCAACCCUGACUUCUCAUCAUCGGAAGACGCCGGAAACUUGUAACCUGGGCUGCCUUUCCACGUCUGUACGUAGGCCAUGCCAUCUUAGUUUCUUGGUUCUCAGAUUUCAAAAAAAGAUUGUAAUACCAGCAUGACAUCAAGUAAAAAUGAACUCAAUUAACAUUUGAGGUACUCUGGUUGUGACAGAUAAGACAUACGCUAACAUGUGUACAGUAUGUACAUGAGGUUCAUUGUACCGAGAAAGAAGCAGUAUCCUAGCUCAUUUCAACAAGUACAAUGAAUAGAUUAACAUCCAGUUGUAAGGACUGUGACCCUUUCCAGUAGUGUGUAGUUAAGGUAACAAGAGCCGGGAUUCAAACCCAUAACCUCUUGGUCCAAAUGCAGGUCACUAAAGCUUGACUACACAUGCUACAUGAUGAGUCUGUACUAGGUUUACAAGUCAGAUCCAGGUUGUCUUCCCAGCUCUCUGUGU